GUAGGUGAACCUGCGGAAGGAUCAUUAACACGUAUCCAACGUUAAAACCCCCCCCCGUAAACUUUCAAUCCUGCUCUUGUAACCCGCGUAGUUCGCAAUCUCUGGUAAAUCAUAGCCCGGAAAGUUGUUUUGAUUCAGAUGGCUACGUGAGAACAUUGGAACAGUUACAAUCGAGCGGUAGUUUCAUAGGCAUUGUUUCCCCAAGCAGUCAGUGUCGGAAAGUGUCACUGAUUGUGCAAGGAUAGCGCUU
rnacentral:misc_RNA from 1 species